UUAUUGAACCUCGGGGAGUUAUUCAUUAACAUCAGUACGAAAUGCUUGACAAACAUCUGGCUUGUUGGGGGUUGGACCUGGUUAAUUCUACUUGGAUCCGCACCAAUAUUAGUUCUGCUUGGAUUAGCACCAGCACUAAUGAUGACAUAAGACAUUUACUUCAUUAGCCUGAUGAAGGGAAAAUUUUGCAUGCUCAGCCUAAGCCAAAAAAAUAAGAGUCCAGGUCCAAAAACUCAGGAGCUGAACCCAUGGAGAGAAUCCAGCUAACUGUGCAGAGGGGACCCAAGCGCAGCGGGUAGAGAUGCAGUGGUCUGCCACAGGGGAUCCUGAGCUGAGACAGGGUGUCUUUCCUUCUCUCUUCCUACCAUUGGCCUCCAGCACAGACGGAGCGACUGGAGACCACCAGUUUCAACCACACUAGAGUAAGGGAAAGCAUAGACCAACAGUUUUAUUGCUGCACAAACUUCUGCGUCUAUGGCAGGAGGGAGUGGAGAAGGGCACACCACACAGAGGAACUUUCUCUAGGCUGUAGCUUAUUUUUACCACUAAUAUAUAUUAAAAAUAGAGUCAAGUCUCAUUGUGCAAGGAUGAGUCCAUUGCCCAAAGAACUUCAUUGCGUCUGCAUAAAGUAAGUCUCCUUCCCAAGUCUCCUUGCUAUUCAUUUAAUUUCAACCCUAUUGUGCUAAAGGCACAAUUAUCCGCAAGCUUUGCCUAUACACUGUGGAUCGCAUUUCAAAUUUCCUUCUUACUAAUCUACAUUGUUCAGGUUCCUGCACGUCUCUCCUAGUUGCUGAAGGGUAUAUAAUAUCACAGGCUGCGUGUGGCUGUGCCUCGCUGGGUGGGGGCGGAGCUGUGGAGACCAGAGUUUCAUUAUGUCCAAAGCCUCCAGAGCUUCGUGGUUACUUGGUCCUCUGUUAUUAAGUGUCGUAGCUUCCGCGUUGGCCUGGAAUUGCUGUGUGGCCCAGCUUGCAUCUUCUGAGACUGGCGUCCACUUGGUCUGCACACGGGAUGGUCCUGCUCCCUCCACAACCUGGACGUCGACAUGGCGAGAGCCUCCAGGGUUUGUUUCUCUGCUGUCAGAUCUGUCUUAAAACCAGCUACCUGGAGCUGAUGUGUAAAUUACAAUCUUGGUAGCCUUGAAACACCAGAAAUGUAUUCUCUCCAAUUGCUGAAGGCCAGAAGUCAGACCUUUGGGAGUCUGCAAGCCUUUGCCCCCACCCUCAUAGGUUCCACGAAAGAGUUCAUUUGGUGUCUCCUCCAACUGCUAGGAGCUGCCCGUUUGGCUUGGCUUCAUCUGUCACUCCUGUGUCCCUUCUCUUUGUGUCUCUCUCUUUCUGUUCUGAGCACCUAACUCAAAACUGCCUCCCACUCUCUCAAACACGUGCGCUUGCAUUUGGGGAAUCCCCAAAUAACCCAGCAUAGCUUUUCCUACCGAGAUCCUUGAAUGAGUCAACUUCUUAACAGGUUCUGAGAGUUGGAACCUAGUGGGGCCACCGUUCAGCUACAAUACCAUCUCGGUUUGCCCUGCCUUAACCACACCUUCUGUUUCUGUCCCUUUAAUAGGAUUUGCUAUUUCUUCUCGAAUUGAAUCACUAACUAAAGAUAUUUGUGAUUUUUUUUCUGUCCCCAAAGCAUCUUUAGUUAUCAUUGAUCCCACACAUUUGCCUGACAGUCGCUGUGUGUUUCCCCCACCUCUGCUAGUCAAACAGCUACUGGAUUGCAAUGAAGAAUAUUAGAGUGUGUGGCUUUUUAAAAAGGCUUUCUCGCUCUUGUGGCUCUGACAUCCUCUUAUCCCAUCCACCCCAGCCUGUGGGGUAAAAAGAGAGUCUAGAGUCAAGUGGGCGGUUAGAGGCGAGUCCUAGAAGUGGUGUGCAGCUCUCCUGCCCACAUCUAAUGGCCUGAACUCAAUCCACGGCCCUACUUGGCUUUGAGACAAGUGGAAAAUGCAGCCUAGCUGUGGAGUCAGCAUGCAAAGCAAACGCUUACACACGGGUGCUUCAGCAACCCCCUGCCAAAGCAGACUCCUUCAGGCUGAUUUAGAAACCUUUAAAUCAGGAUCAAUUUUCCUUGGUCUAUAGCCAAAGACAAAGGACUAAAUCUAAGAGAUAUUAGGCAUUACUCAAAGCAAAUGUGUGUGUGUGUGUGUGUGUGUGUGUGUGUGUGUGUGUGUGUGUGUACAUUCAUAUGCAGUGCCUUAUGCAUGAGGGAUGUCUUUAAGAUUUAGGUGUGUCUUAGUUUUUGGGUUGUUUUUUGUAUUUUUGUUUUGGGGGGUUGGGGUUUUUUUUGUUUUGUUUUGUUUUGUCUUAUUUUGUUUUAGUUUAAAUGCAUCUCUUACAAAACCAUGGGCUGCUGUUGAUGGGCUCUCUAAGAGUCCCAAGCAUUACAGACAGGUCUUGUCCUUCCCCAUUCUCUCUCUCUUACUGCAAAAUGUUAGAAUACAUUUCUAAAGCUAGCCCCCAGGUCCAUUCCUUUAUUUGGCCACUGACUCGUUCCUGACCAAACACCAACAUCCAGCAACCAUAAGUCAUCAUUUGGCUACUCUGGCUAACCUGCCCAAGCAGAUCGCACCACCUCAGGCUAGCACAGACUUCCCCUUGUCUCCUUGAAACCCCUCCUACAGAGACACCUGCCGCUUGCUGUCUGCUUUUGGCCAAUCCAGAGGCAACCCCGCAACUCCCAUUGCCCCUUUGGGGUAAUUAUUUUCCUUAGGGGUGAGGACUUGGUGUCUGGGUCUGUCCUGAACCCAGUCCCCUCCCAAAACUAGCUGUAGAGCACAGUAGUUCAGACAUAAAGCUUAAAAUCAACCGGGCAGGGGGAGCAUAAACCUCACCCAUCGUUUGCAAGUCCAACAGACUUGACUUCAACCGCUGGUUUUCAAAAUGUUGAAUAAGAAAACAUGCACCACACAAACGCAUAACUUGGAUACAUGUUGGUGUGUUCAUAAGUAUAUAUAUGUGUAUACAUGCAUAUGCAUACACGUGUUCUAUAUACAUAGAUUGAGAGCAACUUAAUUUUCCACUCAGAAAUAGGCCAUGGCCUUCGGUUUGAAAUCAUUGGCUUAACCUCUCUGUGGUCUGUUUCUUCCAAUGAAAAACAGGCUUAUUGGAAGGAUGAAUUAAACUAAUUUGCAUAAAUAGUCUAUGCGCUCACUACCUCAUGCGUGCUAAGUUAUUUUUCUUGUCAGUGUUACUGUAAGAAUGCCAUUUAAAGCCAGGACUUACAAAAUUUGUACAAGGUUAGUAAGACACAGAUAAAGUUCAAACGAGGGAUUAGUCUCUCCGUCGUCGCAGGGUAGGAUCAUGUCAGUGUAAUUACCUUUAUUCAUUUAGUCACCUACGGAAUAUUUAAGUGAAAAAACGUGUGGCAGCCACUGUGACCACACUGGCGAUGCAGGCUGAAUGAGCCAGGCUGCUGUUGUCUCUACGCAGCUUGGCUCUGUAGAACUGAGCUUGCAAUCCAGUAGCCUCGCCGUGUGCAGCCAUCUGAAUUUACACGUGAAUUCAUUAAAAUGAAAUAAAAUUUAAAAUUUACAUUUUUUAUCACACUAGUUCAACAGCCACAUGUUUUUGCCGUGUAUAACAGCACAGUUGCAAAACAUUUCUAUAAGCAGAGAACGUUCUAGAGUUAAAAAAAAAAAAAAGAAAAAGAAAAGAACUUUGUAAGAUGGACGCCCACGCUUAAAAUCUAGACGAAGAUGAGAAGAUCUCAGAUGACGUGGUCUCCCCAUCUGGAAGGGACUCAAUAGUAUUUCACAUACUCUAGCAAUGUCACUGCCAACCUAGAUAAAAGCUUCUUCCUUCACACACAUGGAGGUAUCCUGGCAUCUCCAUCUAUGCUUUGAGUUUGGGUCGUGAGCCUAGCCUAUAAUGGCCGAGCCAUCUCUAAGGCCACCUCUAUCUAUUCUUCCUGCUGCAGUACCAUUUACAAUGCUAAGUAUCUACAUAGAUAUUGGGGGAGGGGACAUGUAAUUCUAUUCUCAAGGAAUCUAUGGGAGAACUGACUCCAAAUGCAGACUUCAGCCCCAUCUAGACCCUCGCGCUCCCAGCCCUGCUCGGCUGCUGGCUAACACUUAGCCUUUUCUGCCAAACCAUUGGUGGCAAGAUGUGAUAGAGCCCUGGGGCAUUUCGUCACUGGCAGCAGUGUCUACAGGAAAAGUGUUAGUGUCACAUGGGAGACCUGGUCCUGACAGCCCACUGAGCGACAGCCUUCUUUUCCCCUGGGCAGCCAGAGGCUUGACUUUCUCACAGACAACUGCCGUUCCACAACUUCAGGGGCUUAGACUCCACUUCGGCUGUUAGCUUGCUAUUUGGACAUGGGCUCUUGAUAGUUUCCUCACACCUAAACUUGCCAAAGACUCUGCGCAUGCGCACGCACACACAUACACCUAUCGUGACGUAUCCUACUCACAUGAAGACAGAACCAUUACAUAGAAGAACAUCUAGAGUUCAGUUUGUGCUUGAUGAUUUAGCAUGAGUAAGUAUGAUACAUAGUACAGAAUCUAAGAGAAGAGCAAGAACUUUGAAAACAGGCCUGGGAUUAAAAUCAUAGUAACUGUACCAGCUGUUAUCAUGAACAAGUUGCCCGUUCACUCCCACCGUUGGGUUCUUCAACCUGUGAAACAAGUUCAGAAUGCCCGUGUGUGGUGUUUGGGGUUUAAUGGGGUGUACUGAAUGCAAAUGCAGCUACACUGGAGGCAGCGUUCUUUCCCCUUGUCAUUGCCUCCGCAUCUAGAGCUUUCCUCGUCCUGGAAGUGAUGGUUACUAUGGUCAACUUGACUGUACUGAGUAAUGCCUAGGAGACUGGUCAAGGACACCUCUGGGUAUGUAGGAGGCAUCAUCUCCAGAGACUGUGGGAGAGCUCGGAUGUAAUGCAGGACUAACACGCCAACAGGCUUAUAUUUUCAGUAGGCUAUCGAGAAGGGAUGGAACCGUGGAAGGCCCAAUUGGAGGAAGUCCCUAACGGUUUCGAUAGCGUCAAAUUAAAAUGAAAGUAGGUACCAAUAACACAGGUACCAGAAGCAGCCAACAGGACAGCGAGAAAAGAAUGAAAGAUUAAAGAUUAGAAUCUUCGCAGACUAAGAAUCUGUGGCGUUUCCAGCUAUGCUUGCUGUUUGUACAAACAGAUCACUGCAGAUGUCCUUGGGAGCUACAUUUUGCCCUGGCUCCUUCCUGUUGCUUCCUCUCUGCUCUGUUUCCUGCUGCCAUGAUCUGAGAUUCUCCAUCAGGCUACCUCUGUCAUGAUGAGGUAAAAAUCUCUAAUGCCACAAAAUGAACUAAAUCCGUCCUCGGGCGGCCUGUCUUGGUUAUCUCUCACAGGCAGUGAAGUCUGACACUCUUGCCUUGGCUGCCUCUCCAUCUGAAGCGGCUCUCUCUGGGGACUUCCUCCUGAUCUUCAGAGAACAAAGAGAAAUGUCCAAAGGAAGACUGAGGUCAGGCCCAGUCCAGAAGGAGUUGGUGUAGCAUUCUCUGGUCAAGUUGGAUGGAAGCCUUGAACUGGGUCAAGACAGAUGCUGCUUUUCAUCCCUAAGGGUCAAAACAAGCUCCAUGGGACUAGGAACCUUCUUCCUGUGGAAGCAGAUUAUGGGAAAAAGAGUAGUGAACCCUUAUACCGACUUCUUGGCUACAGUUCUUUACAGAACCUCUCUGCACGAUCUUGAGGAGCCUAAAUGAACUCUGUUCUGAGUGACAAAUGAGGGAGGAUUAUUGUCAAGUGCAUUCCUGGGGUCACACUGCUCCUUGUUUAGGUCUUCAAACCCCUGAGCCAUCGAAUAUUGACAUAAGCAGCUCCCUUCCCUCUCUCCCCAUCAGCUUCUCAUCAGUUCCUACUGACACCCCAAUAUAAGCCUUGUCCCUUGCCUGCUCUUAUUGGUUACUGUACAUUCCUCUCUGUAACUCUUAGCCAGAUACACAGCUGUGAGCGAGCAUUUGCAUGAAUGUUUGCUUACUAUUGUCUCCUGAGCAAGGCUACAAACUCCUCGAGCGAAGCAACCUGGUCCAGUGUUUUUCCUCCAAGCCCAGCACCGCUGGCAUUGGUUUCCUGGAAUUCUAGCCCUUGAGAGCAGGCAGGCUGGGGUCCAGAUAUACAAUUGCCCGACUCACACAUUCUUCUGGACCUAGUGCAAUAAAUCUUUGCUGAAAGAAUGGCAAGGGUUUUGAGAGUGUCGAAUUACAAUAAAAGUUGGAAUUAACGACACAAGUAACAGAAGCAGCCAACAGGACAGCAAGAAAAGAAUGAGAGAUUAAAGAUUAGAUUCUUCCCAGACUAAGAAUCUGUGAAGUUUCCAGUUGUGUUUCAUGUUUACACAAACCAUGCUGCAGGGAAAAAGAUCCUGAGUCCUAACGUGGGCAGUCGGGGCACAUCCCCUCCCAGGGAAUGGAGGAACUGGAAGAGGGGCUGUCUCUUCCACUAAGUGGGGAGCUCUAUGUAGGUGUAACUCUGGUUCAAUUACCUCUAGCCCAUUCUGAGGGACAAAGACAGAUUUCACUGGAUAUAAAGGAGGGGUGCAGAUGGACGUGUGAAGGACAUGUCUGAAGAUAAAUGUUCUAACCCCUUUCUCCCCGGAAACAUUUGCUUGGUGUGAGCAUGUCCAGAAAUGCUCCUAUUCUGUAGGAAGUACGAAGAGAGUGUGGGCAUUUAAUAUGUGUAAUUCCCCUUUGCAACACAGAGAGGAAAAAUUCUCCCUCGUCCUUCAAAUCCCCUUUCAGCUCCUUGGCCACUCCUUCUGAGAUGACUUCUCAAAGCUUCCAAACAUGGCGCCCUCUUCUCCUUUGACCUUUUGCCUCCUCACUGGCUCUUAGUCACACCUUAUGACAUCACUCUUGCCUGGGUUGAGCAGAGUUGGCCACGGUACAUGCCUCUUGAGACAGUCACCCCAGGCUAUCCACAUAGCAGGCAAAAAUGUGUUCCAUGAAUGACGUCCGGGUCAUUAUCCCCAGUACCUGGGCACCCAUGACCUGGUGAUUAUGUCAAGGGUCUAGAGAAGGAACUUCUAUGAAAUUUAGAUGGCCUUAUACAGUCACACAGGCCUUCUUGAGUGGGGGGCGGGGUCAAAGGAUCAGUAUAAGGAGGGGAAGUGUGACAAUGGAAGCUGAUGUUGAAAAUGUGCUUUAAUGGUGGAGGACGGUGCCAGGGCCAGCGCAGGUAGGAAACUUCCGGCAUCGGAAAAGGCAAGAAAUGCCUAAUCCCUAGAACCGCCAGGAGAAACCCAGUUUUGCAGUC